GACGAACGCUGGCGGCGUGCCUAAUACAUGCAAGUAGAACGCACAGUUUAUACCGUAGCUUGCUACACCAUAAACUGUGAGUUGCGAACGGGUGAGUAACGCGUAGGUAACCUGCCUGGUAGCGGGGGAUAACUAUUGGAAACGAUAGCUAAUACCGCAUAAUAUUAAUUAUUGCAUGAUAAUUGAUUGAAAGAUGCAAUUGCAUCACUACCAGAUGGACCUGCGUUGUAUUAGCUAGUAGGUGAGGUAACGGCUCACCUAGGCGACGAUACAUAGCCGACCUGAGAGGGUGAUCGGCCACACUGGGACUGAGACACGGCCCAGACUCCUACGGGAGGCAGCAGUAGGGAAUCUUCGGCAAUAGACGAAAGUCUGACCGAGCAACGCCGCGUGAGUGAAGAAGGUUUUCGGAUCGUAAAGCUCUGUUGUAAGAGAAGAACGGGUGUGAGAGUGGAAAGUUCACACUGUGACGGUAGCUUACCAGAAAGGGACGGCUAACUACGUG
rnacentral:rRNA from 1 species